rnacentral:rRNA from 1 species
UACGUAGGGUGCGAGCGUUAAUCGGAAUUACUAGGCGUAAAGCGUGCGCAGGCGGUUCGUUGUGUCGGCGGUGAAAGCCCCGGGCUUAACCUGGGAAUGGCCGUUGAAACUGGCGAACUGGAGUGUGGCAGAGGGGGGUGGAAUUCCGCGUGUAGCAGUGAAAUGCGUAGAGAUGCGGAGGAACACCGAUGGCGAAGGCAGCCCCCUGGGCUAACACUGACGCUCAGGCACGAAAGCGUGGGGAGCAAAAGGG